rnacentral:rRNA from 1 species
UAAGGAAUCUUCCACAAUGGGCGAAAGCCUGAUGGAGCAACGCCGCGUGCAGGAUGACGGCCUUCGGGUUGUAAACUGCUUUUAUACGGGAAGAUUAUGACGGUACCGUAUGAAUAAGGACCGGCUAACUACGUGCCAGCAGCCGCGGUAAUACGUAGGGUCCAAGCGUUAUCCGGAAUCACUGGGCGUAAAGCGUGCGUAGGCGGGUGUUUAAGUGAGAUGCGAAAUCUUGUGGCUCAACCAUAAGACUGUAUCUCAUACUGGAUACCUAGAGGAUGGCAGAGGCUAGUGGAAUUACGGGUGUAGCAGUGAAAUGCGUAGAGAUCCGUAGGAACACCAAUGGCGAAGGCAGCUAGCUGGGCCAUUUCUGACGCUAAGGCACGAAAGCGUGGGGAGCGAACAGG